rnacentral:tRNA from 1 species
GGGAAGGUGGCUCAGUGGUAGAGUGCUUGCCUUGCAUGCAUGAGGCCCUGGGUUCGAUUCCUCA